rnacentral:lncRNA from 1 species
CUAGUAGCUAGCUAGACGGCAUGAACACACCAGGAGCUAGCUGGAGCGCUAAUCGACCAGAUCGAUCGAUAGCACUCCUCCCGGCCUCUCUACUACUUGGUGAUGGCGUAGAUGGCGUAGAUGAUGCCGGGGAGGUAGCCGAGGAAGGUGAGGAGGAGGCAGAUCCAGAACUCGUGCCCGCACCCGUGCUUGAGGAACACCCCCAGCGGCGGCAGGAUGAUGGCGAUCAGGAUGUCGACGCAGUUCGCCGUCCCCUCCGACAUCUUUGCUGCUGCUGUUGCUUCUCUUCCUUUCCUUUGUUGCUGCUGCUGGAUCGGAGGACCUUCUCCCUCUCUCCUUCUCCUGCUUGAUGCUGUUGGCUCUCAGUGCCGUGCUCUGGUAGUCUGUUUGUUUGCUGUGCUUGGAUUCCUCCUUUCCUUUGGUCCGGGUGAUUUUAUAGACCGGG